rnacentral:rRNA from 1 species
UAGGGAAUCUUCGGCAAUGGACGAAAGUCUGACCGAGCAACGCCGCGUGAGUGAAGAAGGUUUUCGGAUCGUAACACUCUGUUGUUAGAGAAGAACAAGGACGUUAGUAACUGAACGUCCCCUGACGGUAUCUAACCAGAAAGCCACGGCUAACUACGUGCCAGCAGCUGCGGUAAUACGUAGGUGGCAAGCGUUGUCCGGAUUUAUUGGUCGUAAAGCGAGCGCAGGCGGUUUCUUAAGUCAGAUGUGAAAGCCCCCGGUUCAAACGGGGAGAGUCGUUGGGAACAGGGAGACUUGAGUGCAGAAGAGGAGAGUGGAAUUGCAUGUGUAGCGAUGAAAUGCGUGGAUAUAUGGGGGGAAGCCAGUGGGGAGGGCGGCUGUCUGGUCUGUAACAGACGCUGAGGGUCGAAAGAGUGGGGGGCGAACAGG